GAUGAACGCUAGCUACAGGCUUAACACAUGCAAGUCGAGGGGAAACGAUAUUGGAAGCUUGCUUCCGAUAGGCGUCGACCGGCGCACGGGUGAGUAACGCGUAUCCAACCUGCCCAUCACUUGGGAAUAACCUUGCGAAAGUAAGACUAAUGCCCAAUGACAUUUAAAGAAGGCAUCUGAAAUGAAUUAAAGAUUUAUCGGUGAUGGAUGGGGAUGCGUCUGAUUAGCUUGUUGGCGGGGUAACGGCCCACCAAGGCGACGAUCAGUAGGGGUUCUGAGAGGAAGGUCCCCCACAUUGGAACUGAGACACGGUCCAA
rnacentral:rRNA from 1 species